UCCCUGGUAGUAUAUCGGUUAGUACACGCGCCUGUCACGAAGUGCUUGGUAUACCUCAUCGUCUCGCGCGAAAGCUGGGUUCGACUCCCAGCCAGGGAG
rnacentral:tRNA from 1 species